rnacentral:lncRNA from 1 species
AUCUUUCUAAAGCUCUGAUCAGUCAAGAAGGGGGUUGUAUCAAUCCUCAGAACCCUGAGUGGAACUUUCUACAGGAUUUAUUAGGAGAAAAACCUUCCCGGAAGCUGCAGAAGGACAAAUACAGAAUCCGUGUCUGGGAGAAACCUCGUGGCCUGGUCUCCAUUAUUUGAGAUGAGUUACAUCUUGGAGGUGAGGACGUGCCUCGUGGUCUAAAGCUUCGGCACAAGGGCCCAACUGGAAUUCCACUUACGGGCCUGAUCUUUUGGCCAGAAGGAGAUUAAAAAGAUGCCCCUCAAGAUGGCUGUGCCUGUCAGCUGCAUGGAGCUUCGUUCAAGUAUUUUCUGAGCCUGAUGGAUUUACAGUGAUCUUCAGUGGUCUGGGGAAUAACGCUGGUGGAACCAUGCACUGGAAUGACACACGCCCGGCACAUUUCAGGAUACUAAAAGUGGUUUUAAGGGAGGCUGUGGCUGAAUGCCUCAUGGAUUCUUACAGCUUGGAUGUCCAUGGGGGACGAAGGACUGCAGCUGGCUGAGAGGGUUGAGAUCUCUGUUUACUUAGAUCUCUGCCAACUUCCUUUGGGUCUCCCUAUGGAAUGUAAGACCCCGACUCUUCCUGGUGAAGCAU